ACCAUGCAGAUUGAUUAGUUUUAGUCUCUACCCACCAAGAAUUUACAAUCAAGACAGAAAUAAUAUUUAAAAAUAUGCAAAGACCCAUCUGUCUUUGGCUUUACUCAUUUCCUGAGAUAUAUAGGAAGAGAGGUGUUUUGAAAGUCGGUAACAUUUCACUUCUCUAUUGAAGAGCUUCAAGUCGGUGGGAAAAUCUUAAAAUCUGAAAUCUAAGAGAGAGAGAGAUCUUCUAAGGAGUUAACUCAUGCAGUUUUGGAGGCUGAGAAGCCCAAGAUCUUCAGCAGUUCAUGGAGUUUUGGAGACUUGCCAACUUGACCGGCGGGCACGGUUGGGCCAUCCCAGGACUUCUGGCUCUUUCUGCAUCAACCACCCCAGUGAGUCUGCUUAUUUCCUUCUGGCGGCUUGUCCUGCACUUUUGGGGAGCAGUCAUACCUCAAGUUUGGGGGUGCACAGUUAUCCCAAGGGGUGAAAGAAGCAGAUUUCAGCGCAUCUAGUUCCUCUUUAGCUAAAUAGAUCAUCAUUUAACGGAUAGCCAAGACAACUCACUGUUAAUCUGUCCUACUUCGGCUUUUAAAAAAUGAGCAAAGACAGCAUUUUAUUAGCACAAAUGCCUGUCAGUUUCAGACUUAUGACGACUUUGACUAGAAACAGCAAAUAAUAAAACGAAGCGAUUUUGAGCCACACAAAUGCGAACUUGGAAGGCGCGGGUGACACUUGUCAUUGCUUGUCGACCUUGGCAAUCUCCUUACGCUGUUGAUUUGCUUUGGGUGCCCAGCACUGAGAAAAAUCCUGAGUGACACAGCUAAAUAAUAGCGGGCUGUAAACAUUUAGGA